GACGAACGCUGGCGGCGCGCCUUAUACAUGCAAGUCGAACGAGUACGGACUUCGGUCCAUAUGUACGAGUGGCGAACGGGUGAGUAACACGUGAGAAACCUGCCUCGGAGACCGGGACAACCAUUGGAAACGAUGGCUAAUACCGGAUGUCCUUACACGACCGCAUGGUCGAGUAAGGAAACGAUCCGUCGCUCCGGGAGGGUCUCGCGGCCUAUCAGCUAGUUGGUGAGGUAACGGCUCACCAAGGCAUCGACGGGUAGCUGGUCUGAGAGGACGAUCAGCCACACUGGGACUGAGACACGGCCCAGACUCCUACGGGAGGCAGCAGUAGGGAAUCGUGCACAAUGGGCGAAAGCCUGAUGCAGCGACGCCGCGUGGGGGAUGAAGGCCUUCGGGUUGUAAACCCCUUUCAGUAGGGACGAAAAUGACGGUACCUACAGAAGAAGCUCCGGCCAACUACG
rnacentral:rRNA from 1 species